rnacentral:rRNA from 1 species
UGGGGAAUAUUGGACAAUGGGGGCAACCCUGAUCCAGCAAUGCCGCGUGUGUGAAGAAGGUUUUCGGAUUGUAAAGCACUUUCGACGGGGACGAUGAUGACGGUACCCGUAGAAGAAGCCCCGGCUAACUUCGUGCCAGCAGCCGCGGUAAUACGAAGGGGGCUAGCGUUGCUCGGAAUGACUGGGCGUAAAGGGCGUGUAGGCGGUUUGUACAGUCAGAUGUGAAAUCCCCGGGCUUAACCUGGGAGCUGCAUUUGAUACGUGCAGACUAGAGUGUGAGAGAGGGUUGUGGAAUUCCCAGUGUAGAGGUGAAAUUCGUAGAUAUUGGGAAGAACACCGGUGGCGAAGGCGGCAACCUGGCUCAUAACUGACGCUGAGGCGCGAAAGCGU